GCGUCCGCGAGCGACGGACGAGAAAAUCGAACCGCGAAAUCGAAUCGCGAAACCGUCCGGCGGCCAGCUCCGUGGGACACCGUUCCACUCGCGCGAGGACACCUGGACGUGUCACGGGACGUGGAAACCGUCGCAGCGCGCCUCGUCCGUCCUUUUUUCCCGUCGGGUUUCCUCGAACGGAACAAGGUGAGACCGACUCGAUUUAGCGACGCGACGCGGCGGGAUUCAAUGAGCUGCUUUCCGGCCGGACUGACAAAGACGGGAAACACGAGCGACGACGCGUAUCGGAGCGACGCCAGUUUUCCCCGGUUGCGGGCGGACGACGGUGCCGCUAGGUUUUCAAAGAGCGAACGCGGGGAAAAUGUUAUUCUAACGGAGAGAGGAUCGGCACCGCGGUGUUGGUGCUCGCGCGCCGAAAAAACACUCCGGACGCCGAGGAAAUCCCUGCUCUCGAGGAGGCCGGAGGCUUGUUAACGUCGCGUCCAAGGGCUUUGCGAUGACAAAGAGGGCCGUUCAACGAUGCGGCGAUCGUGCUCGCGGGGCGGAUACUCGGUUCGGAGAUCCGAGAAACUGAGGUCGCCGACGGGAUCCGGGAACCGUUUCGAUCAUUCGGAACCCAAGAUCCCGCGCCAGCGGAUUACACGCUCGAGCUCGCCAUCUUGGAGAAUCCUGGUGACCGAAAUACCGCGGCUGGUCCCGCGUCUGCCCGUCUCCGCCGUGGAAUUCCCGUACGGCUGGACGUCCGUUUGUCGAAGAAGAGCUCCGGCAGCGUCCGACAGCACCAUCGGCAACAGCAACACCAGCAGCAUCGGGCACCGGCUCCGUACGGUUCGCGUUGCUUUCCUGCGCACGAAUAUUUACACCACCUGGUCAGAGCGUCGCCGAUUGUCGAACAGCAGUUUCGUUUCAUGUUUCGCGACAAAGGGCCUAGCCGAUUGAGAUGGUCGAAAUUGGCCUAAUUGAGCAUUAUACCAUUAUAUACCAUUAUAUAUGAUAUAAUGGUAUAUGUGUAUGGUAUAUAUAAUAUAUAUUAUU